rnacentral:rRNA from 1 species
UACAGAGGUCUCAAGCGUUGUUCGGAUUCAUUGGGCGUAAAGGGUGCGUAGGCGGCGCGGUAAGUCGGGUGUGAAAUCUUGGAGCUUAACUCCGAAACUGCAUUCGAUACUGCCGUGCUUGAGGACUGGAGAGGAGACUGGAAUUUACGGUGUAGCGGUGAAAUGCGUAGAUAUCGUAAGGAAGACCAGUGGCGAAGGCGGGUCUCUGGACAGUUCCUGACGCUGGAGGCACGAAGGCCAGGGAGCAAACGGG